rnacentral:rRNA from 1 species
UACAGAGGUGGCAAGCGUUGUUCGGAAUUACUGGGCGUAAAGGGCGCGUAGGCGGCCUUCUAAGUCAGACGUGAAAUCCCCAGGCUUAACCUGGGAACUGCAUCCGAUACUGGAUGGCUUGAAUUCGGGAGAGGGAUGCAGAAUUCCAGGUGUAGCGGUGAAAUGCGUAGAUAUCUGGAGGAAUACCGGUGGCGAAGGCGGCAUCCUGGACCGACAUUGACGCUGAUGAGCGAAAGCUAGGGGAGCAAACGGG